UUCCAGCGUUAGGGAUUGCAGUGGAAAUCCUUUUUGUGAGGCACCAAGAACCCGGCCUGUAGCAAGAUGGUAAUACUUUUAGGACAAACCCCUAAAUAUUAAAUCUCGAUUAUCGAGCAAAAAGAUUGCAGCGAAAAGCCCGGCCCGGU
rnacentral:sRNA from 1 species